UUGGAUUAAUGCAACAACUCCAUAUAUUCUCAGCAAGACCUUCCAUUUCCGUUGGUGUUGUUUCAUCUUCACCUGGCCAAUCAUCUUCACCUGACCAAUCAUCUGGAUUAAUGCAAACCCUUUGUUUAGAGAGAAGCUAACUCUUCCUGUAUUUAAAUUUUCAAGGAUGCAUGCAUUGAUAAAUCGAAGGUCCUUAGCCCUCUACAUUCUUAAGUAUUAUUACUUUGUGUUACCAUUUGUGGCUCCUUUUCUUCUUUGUGUUUUUUUUGUUAUCAAGUUACAUUAUUGCUAAUCUGCUAUCAAAUUGGUAUUUCUUUUAGUAUAAAAAUAAAAGGUGUACUAAUUAAUGGUUACUCUCAAGAACUGCUAAUCUUUCCAUGCCUCAUGUUGGUGUUCAAGCUGGACCUCCUAGUCUUGUGCAACAACAACAACCUCCAGUUACAGGUUUGGUUUGAAUUUUGAUUCAGUUUUUAUUUUUGUUAUUAUCAUUUAUUGAUAUAAAUUAAAUUGAAUAAAAAUUGAUGUUUUGAUUUAUAUGUGCAACUACAUUCCUGAAGCAUCCACAUACACCUCCUGGUGGUGGUCCUGGAUUGGAAUAUCAAAUGACUGAAUCGGAGCUAAGUCAAAUCUGCAGAUUGCUUCAACACUUGAAGGAAGGACUGCUACCUAGUACUCGAAUAGGUCAGUUACCAUUUUUUUAUAAAAUUGUAAAUGUGGUGCAAGGGUAGUUCUAAAUAUUUGCAUCUGGUUUCAGGGGUUACUUAAGGAAAAUGCAAAUGGUAGCAAAUACUGAGCAUAUGGAGGUGACUUUGGAGAUACACCAAAUGACUUAAAUUUCUGCUUAAAUGGUCGCAUAUGGCCUGAUCGGACUCCUCAUCCUGCUCUAAAUGAGGUCAAGUAUUGCUAUCAACCAAUUAAAAUUUCGUUCACCAAUGGCGUAAUUAAGAUUACAAACAUCAAUUUCUUUCAAACAACAGAAGAUCUAGAGUUUAAUUGGGUGAUUGAAGGUGAUUUUGGUUCUUGAAACGAGACUCAAAAUAUCAUAUUUUGG